rnacentral:rRNA from 1 species
AUUGAACGCUGGCGGAAUGCUUUACACAUGCAAGUCGAACGGCAGCACGGGGCAACCUGGUGGCGAGUGGCGAACGGGUGAGUAAUACAUCGGAACGUGCCCAAUCGUGGGGGAUAACGUAGCGAAAGUUACGCUAAUACCGCAUACGAUCUACGGAUGAAAGCGGGGGAUCGCAAGACCUCGCGCGAGUGGAGCGGCCGAUGUCAGAUUAGGUAGUUGGUGGGGUAAAGGCUCACCAAGCCAACGAUCUGUAGCUGGUCUGAGAGGACGACCAGCCACACUGGAACUGAGACACGGUCCAGACUCCUACGGGAGGCAGCAGUGGGGAAUUUUGGACAAUGGGCGAAAGCCUGAUCCAGCCAUUCCGCGUGCAGGAUGAAGGCCCUCGGGUUGUAAACUGCUUUUGUACGGAACGAAACGGUCCUGGUUAAUACCUGGGGCUAAUGACGGUACCGUAAGAAUAAGCACCGGCUAACUACGUGCCAGCAGCCGCGGUAAU